rnacentral:lncRNA from 7 species
GAUUUCCCCGUGCAAGAGAGAAGUACGAGUGCCACAGACUACAAUCAGGCUUUGCGGCACGCUUCCAACCAAGGUACAACACGGUUCAUAAAGCUUUUUGCUCUCUGAACUCUGAGAGGAGAUACUUGGCCCAGAGGAAUUCCUCGCUUUAAAGGCAGAAAGUUAAAUCUGGAGGUUCCUGUACCAGGUGGUGGCUGUCAGAGUUGCUGCUCACAGGCUUGGCCAUCAUUCCUUCUCAUCAGAGGAACGCAGAGCCUUCGCACCUUACUGUUUCCAAUCUCCAAUGCAGUACCUCAAAGAAGGAAGCAAUUAGCACAGCCAGGACUCAUCCAGGCUCGUGCACACUCUACCAUGGUAGAAACUAUCUCUGCAUUCUCCAAGAGCUGUAAUGACCAACUUAAAUGAAGGCAGUGUGUUUGAAAAAGGAAAACUGAGAAACUAGACUGACAGGGAAAACACCACAGUCUCCUUUAGCACCUGUUAGUCUGUUUUGUUUGUACCACGGGACAGCGAUGACAGACCUUUUGGUUGUUUGUUGCCAAAUGAAUUUAAAAGACUUUGCAACCUCAUGUUGGCUUAAAUCUCUCCAGUGCCAAAUUUGGAAUCAUCAUGCCACAAUGGUGUUGCUGCAGAACUGAUGCUUCUACUCCAUUCGCUGCAGCAAGACAUUCAGAGAUGAGGCCCUGAGGUCAGCUUUAACCUAAAUCUGGUCGCUCCUCAAGGAGAGCUCUGAAGAAAAUUAAGAUUGUUAAGGGAGCAACUUUAUUAGGAAGAAAACAUUGCUUUAAUUGCUCAGACAAGCAACAAGGUGGAUUCCGCGCAUUGUUUUGGGUUUUUUUUUUUUAAGGACACUCUCUGCUUUGCGAACUUCUUGGACAUACUACUUGUUUCUUUAAACCCAAAUAAAUUCCUUUU